rnacentral:rRNA from 1 species
AACGAACGCUGGCGGCAUGCCUAACACAUGCAAGUCGAACGAAGCCUUCGGGCUUAGUGGCGCACGGGUGCGUAACGCGUGGGGAUCUGCCCUUUGGUUCGGAAUAACAGUUGGAAACGACUGCUAAUACCGGAUGAUGACGAAAGUCCAAAGAUUUAUCGCCAGAGGAUGAGCCCGCGUAGGAUUAGCUAGUUGGUGUGGUAAAGGCGCACCAAGGCGACGAUCCUUAGCCGGUCUGAGAGGAUGAUCAGCCACGCUGGGACUGAGACACGGCCCAGACUCCUACGGGAGGCGGCAGUGGGGAAUAUUGGACAAUGGGCGAAAGCCUGAUCCAGCAAUGCCGCGUGAGUGAUGAAGGCCUUAGGGUUGUAAAGCUCUUUUACCCGGGAUGAUAAUGACAGUACCGGGAGAAUAAGCUCCGGCUAACUCCGUGCCAGCCGCCGCCGUAA